rnacentral:rRNA from 1 species
UACAGAGGAUGCAAGCGUUAUCCGGAAUGAUUGGGCGUAAAGCGUCUGUAGGUGGCUUUUUAAGUCCGCCGUCAAAUCCCAGGGCUCAACUCUGGACAGGCGGUGGAAACUACCAAGCUGGAGUACGGUAGGGGCAGAGGGAAUUUCCGGUGGAGCGGUGAAAUGCGUAGAGAUCGGAAAGAACACCAGUGGCGAAAGCGACUUCCUGGACCAAUACUGACGCUCAUGUGCGAAAGCGUGGGGAGCAAACAGG